CUGUAUAUAGCUCUCAUACAAUGUUAAUGUCCCCAGUAAGCCAACACAAAGUAAGUGGGGGAAGUUGCCAUGGGAACAGGACCUCGAUGAGGCUCUCCUUCAGCUCGUGUCAUGUCCCAGAGUGAGAACACACAUGGAACAAAGACCUGAAGCAUCCCAGCUGACCUCCAGAUUCAUACGUCAGAAAUAAAUACAUGUCAAGACUUUGCAUAUGGUCCAGAGUGGUGAAGUCAGUCAUUGAAGUCACCCAUAGACAUCAAUACUCAGGAGACAUUGAUACUCAAUUGGACUAACUUCAAAAGAACAUUUUGAACUUUAAGACUGUUGGGCGAUACACAUUUCAUGGUUUGGAAAAGACAAUUACUCGUCUGUGCUUCCCCCAACAAUAAAUAAAAGAAACUCAGAGGGAAAACAUGUUACUUUUAGAAAUAGUAAAAGGGAGAAAGUCUUCUUUAUGGGAAAAGACAUAUGGGUGCAAUUGCUUCAGUGCAACGCUGUCUGAAACAAGAGCAAGCAGGAUGCAAGAAGAUCAUUUAGUCAGAAACAUGGAAACGUAGAACAUGAAAACAUUCCCCUGCCCCAUUAAGUUUCAGUGAGUGGAAGUCGGGGAGGAAGUUAAUGACGGAGCACCCCUGUGGAUCACUGACCAUGUAAUCACACCCCUGGGAUCACUGAUAGUUGUAAUUGUCCACACUGUUGUUGAUGGUAUGCGGAGAUGUCUAUGGUUGUACAUUUCAGAAUGUGAGUUCCGUUGUUCUCAGUUCAGUUCUUGGUGUCCUGGUACAGGCAUUUUACUAAAG